rnacentral:lncRNA from 1 species
UUCUUUUCAAUCCAAUGGGUCGAUUUUCGCUACUCAUCUUCCAAUCAUUCCCGGUGGGCUUCCAAUACAAUAUCCUGCUCUUGUUGCAAACUCUAUUUGUUCUGAAUCCAUUUGGGUCCAAAAAAUUACUAUGGAUCUCUGCAGUAGUAAUGUUACAAGACUAAGAAAUAAAAUGACAAUAUUCAUGUGAUGAAAAACUAAGGAGCUGUCUUCUUACCGUUUUCAAACCGUUUCUGUUUUCGAUUUUCCAAAAUAGUGAAAACGCAUUCUCCUUCUCAUUUUUGAACGUUUUGGGUGUUCUUUUGGCAAAACCCGGCAUUUUAACGAGACACGGGAAACACUCUCAUUUCUGUUUCUCUUCACCACCGCAUAUCCCGCUCUCGCAUAUCCUCUCUCUCAUACCCAUUCUCACCACCUGUUCUGGUUGAAAUUGGUUUGGGUCCAUUGCUGGGUAAGGUGCAACAGAAGCAGACGAUGUUGACCCAUGUGGUCCGCCACCAUGGAUUGACGUGACAGCGUUGGAAUUUUGAAAGAGAUCAAUCUAGGUCAAUUGGGGAUCGCGAAUGGCGAUUUUUCUGGAACCGGGAUUCAAAUCUGCUGCUAAAUCUUAUACAAUGUGGGAGCGGUUUCUUCCGUCGGAUUAUCAAGAUAUUAUUUCAAAUUGCAAAAUCUGCCCCCAAAGCUUUGGCUAUAGCUUCUCUACUCCACACUGUCUACUCAAUACGCUCAUCUUCCAGCACGCUUCGAGCUCCAACGCUUGCUGAUCUGCCCAUUUCUCUUUCUUUCAACAGUUUGGGUUUGGGAAUUGUGUGGAGUAAGANNNNN